AAGACAUUAGUAAACCCGUAAAUUACAUCACCUUGUCAAGGUGAAAUAGUAGGUUAAACUCCUGCAUGUCUUA
rnacentral:tRNA from 1 species